AGUGAACGCUGGCGGCAGGCCUAACACAUGCAAGUCGAGCGGCAGCAGGGAACGUGCUCGUGGAUUCGGCGGCGGAGGGGUGGGUGAGGGCUAGGAACCUGCCUAGUAGUUUUGGCUAAGGGCCGAACACGGGGGCUAAUACGGCAUUCGCGCAUACGGAGUAAGGGGGGGAGCAUCGGACCUCCGGAUAUCACAUGAGUCUAGGUCGGAUUAGCUAGUUGGUGGGGUAAAGGCGUACCAAGGCGACGAUCCGUAGCUGGUCUGAGAGGAUGAUCAGUCACACUGGAACUGAGACACGGUCCAGACUCCUACGGGAGGCAGCAGUGGGGAAUAUUGGACAAUGGGCGCAAGCCUGAUCCAGCCAUGCCGCGUGUGUGAAGAAGGUCUUCGGAUUGUAAAGCACUUUUGGUUGGGAGGAAGAGCAGUAGGUUAAUACCUUGCUGUUUUGACGGUACCAAAAGAAUAAGCACCGGCUAACUUCGUG
rnacentral:rRNA from 1 species